rnacentral:rRNA from 1 species
UACGUAGGGUGCAAGCGUUGUCCGGAUUUAUUGGGCGUAAAGAGCUCGUAGGUGGCCUGUCGCGUCGGCUGUGAAAGCCCGGGGCUUAACCCCGGGUCUGCAUUCGAUACGGGCUAGCUAGAGUGUGGUAGGGGAGAUCGGAAUUCCUGGUGUAGCGGUGAAAUGCGCAGAUAUCAGGAGGAACACCGGUGGCGAAGGCGGAUCUCUGGGCCAUUACUGACGCUGAGGAGCGAAAGCGUGGGGAGCGAACAGG